AUGAACGCUGGCGGCGUGCUUAAUACAUGCAAGUCGAGCGGCAGCGCGGGUAGUUUACUACCUGGCGGCGAGCGGCGGACGGCUGAGUAACACGUAGGAACGUACCCCAAACUGAGGGAUAAGCACCAGAAAUGGUGUCUAAUACCGCAUGUGCUCUACGGAGUAAAGCUUCGGCGGUUUGGGAACGGCCUGCGUAUGAUUAGCUUGUUGGUGAGGUAAUGGCUCACCAAGGCUACGAUCAUUAGCUGGUCUGAGAGGAUGAUCAGCCAGACUGGGACUGAGACACGGCCCAGACUCCUACGGGAGGCAGCAGUAGGGAAUUUUCCACAAUGGGCGAAAGCCUGAUGGAGCAACGCCGCGUGCAGGAUGAAGGCCUUCGGGUCGUAAACUGCUUUUAUCUGUGAUGAAUUUGACAGUAGCAGAUGAAUAAGGAUCGGCUAACUCCGU
rnacentral:rRNA from 1 species